rnacentral:rRNA from 1 species
CGGCAACAGCUCAAAUUUGAAAUCUGGCUCUUUCAGGGUCCGAGUUGUAAUUUGUAGAAGAUGCUUCGGGUGUGGCUCUGGUCUAAGUUCCUUGGAACAGGACGUCAUAGAGGG